rnacentral:tRNA from 1 species
AUAAAAGAUAGGUUAAGUAAACUUUGAAUUUUACAUAUUCAAGAUGUGUGGUAAUUACUCUUUUAUA